AGCUCCAACAGUCUGUAACAGCUAGCUGCAGAGACACCUGUAACUUGUCCCAGGGCUACUGGUUUAAGAUCCUAAGAUUUUUUUUCCUUCUCCAGUCUGCUGGGAUCUUCUACCUCCUCCAAGUGUUCUCAGAGAUGACAGUAAAGUACAAGAAGAAUUGAGCCUUGUAUCAGCAGUCUAGAAUGACUGGAAAACUUGCAGCUUUUUUCUCCCAAAAGCAGCUCUUUUACGGCUGCCUGUAACCUAUUAACCACAUCAGUGGGCUCACAGAAGGCUUAUAGAAGAGCAGGAGCCAGAGGACAACACUGACUGUCUCUAGUCAUAAAAAAAGUCAGCUUCCUAUCUUAGGCUCAGCUGUCACUUCUGAAGGUGCAACAUAUGGGAAGCUAAAGCUCAUGCUGAACAACUAGGAAGUUGGAAGACUGAGCAACUAAAGAGCUUAACAAGACCAUCUCCCCCCACAAUGGAAACAAGAUUGUUCAGGCAUUUAUUAUACUGUUAAGAUCACAAACAGCUUCUCAAAAGCUAAUGACAGAUACCACACAGCAACGAAUAGGAGGGAAAAAUACUUUGCUCAUGCAAUUAGUGUUAGAGAGUUCACAAGAGGACACAUGGAAGAAAGACCACAAGGGAAAGAAAGAAACAAGGAAAAAAAGAAAGCGUAAGCCUCAUCUAAUACCACUGCUUCAAUUUAAAAUAGCUAAGGCUAGGAACAGAUGCUGUAAUGGUUCCUGUACAAAGUGUGCCUGCGUUUGUCCUGAAACAGAAAUAUCCUGGGAUUGGCAUGAAUUAUACACAUUGCCCUUCUAAUAGGGGUUUACUAAUUGGCUGGAUGCAUCACGGCUUUUCUGCCAUUGAGUCAAUGAUGCAAUCCCAAGAUAACCAUUCAGCUCACUACUUUACAAUGUCCUGGGAUAGUAUUAGUACUACUUAUCCCAUGAACCUUUGUAGGAUUUAUACUGACAUAAUGGACACAAACAUCUGAAUGAUUGCACUUUGUCCCAGAAUAAAAUGGCUUAUCCCAGGACAAAUGUGACUUCUAUUUGUAUCCUAAAACACUUCAGUGAUAUCCAAAGGAGCUUUGAAAGGAGGGUUCAUUUCUGACUGUAUCUUCUGCAAGAUAUAAUUGCUAUCUCCCUUGUUCACUGGGAUGCAAUUUCCAAAGCAAGAGAAAACCACACAUGCCAAAAUGCUAUUCUUCAUUAGCUUUCACACAGACAGUUAGUGUGAAGAGGAAUGUAACACAUGCUCUGGUAAUAAUUUAAUUAGUAUUGAGUCCCUGCCUAUUAGCAAACAGAAUCCACACCGAGUUUACUUACCCUUCUGACAACUGCACAUAAAAUUAACAGCUCCCAUAAUAAGACUAUCUUGGUUUGAGGGAAGAUUUUGUACCACCACAGCACCUUACCACUAGCAAAUCACUCUUUCACUCUCUCUCCUGGAAAUAAGACUCCACGUUCCUUUCCAUCAGAUGAGAUGUUAGUAUAGGCAAAGCCCAAAGCUUAUAAAUGCAGAUUAUAAUUCAGCCUGUGGUUACUGACAGGACCAGAAAUAAUGCCCCUUCACAUAUUAGCUGGUAGAACUGACUAUUGGUGGACUCAGUACCUUUCCACCAAUGGUAGCCACCAUUCCACUGUCAUGAUGGGUUUCCUUGUCCUGAGGAUCUCCUGAGUCAUUGGUAUCUCUGUUAUGCAACAUGUAUAGCUGGGAGCAUGGUGUAGGCUGAUUGCACUGAGUUGCAUAUUUAAUCCUCAGUGCAGGGAUUACAAUGGACAGUUAAUCUUUCUGAUCAAAAAUAAGAUUUUAAAAUACACCCCCCCAUGAAUCUCUCAAAAAAUGAUGUAAUGAUCACACUCGUACAACUUUGUGCAAAGCCAUAAUUCCAUUUUUCUGUGGUUUUUUUUUCUGAAGAGGGAAGGGAACACAAACCAGCUGCCAACAAACAAAUGAAAAUAUAUUUUUAAAAGAUCUGCCAAAUUAGAUCUGAUUUACAGCGUCUGCUUAAGAGAAUAAGAGGGCUGGAACAUUAGCACUGAGCUCCACUGGCAGCAAGGCAUGGAAGGAAUUAUGGAAAGAGUAGACUGGCAGACCACACGGUGUGCCCCUGGUCUCAUAGUUAGAAGCACUGAAACUGCACUAAAUCAACAAAAACAUCGGAGAGGAAAGACAGGGGAAAGUCUGACAUUGAAAAUGAGGGGGAAAUGACAUAUAAAAAAUAUUAGUCCACCAUCCCAAUUAGCUCAGACAUGUAAUUUAGACUGACUGGAACAAAUGUACACUGAAAUUAGUGACAUUGCAGCAGGGAUAGAUUGACCUCCCCUUUGCCUCAUGUAAUUAUGAAUAGAAACCAUCACACCUGAAAUCCAACUGUCCCUUCACCAAUAUUAGAGAUGCUGCAAGAGUUAUUUAUCAGGGUGAUGUAAUGUCCUGCAAAGAUUCCCUCCCCUUUCCUGAUUUACAAUCGAGGAAUAUUUGACAGAGAGAGUUUUGCAUAGGGAACUUCUUGGGUUUGUGAUAAAGAAAAGAAAGAAAAAUGACCAAACGCCAAACGUAGGAGCAAGUCGUGCUCAUGGCAUGGGGGAGGCGAUGGGCGCAGCCUGAUAGCGGUGGUCCCGCCCCGCGCUGAUUGGCAGGGGCGUGCAGAUGCAGCCCGUUUAAAAGGGGAGCGCGCCAAAAGAAAGGGGGACCCGCGCAAUAUCGGAGAGGCCUGAUCACCCUCAGAGGAGGUCCUGCAUCCAUGAAAUCCCUUCCCCCCCGGACGCCCCCAUCAUGACUGGGUAUACCAUCCGAACGUGUUUAAGAGCUCUCGAGUUAUCAGCGAGUUUAAUCUUGGAACAGCUGUUAAGAAGUUUUUUUCUGCCUAAACUGUGAGUAAAGCGUUUACUUAUCUCACCGCCUC